UACAUAGGUCCCAAGCGUUGUUCGGAUUCACUGGGCGUAAAGGGCGCGUAGGUGGCCAGGUAAGUUUGGUGUGAAAGCUCGGAGCUUAACUCCGAAAAGUCAUUGAAUACUAUCUGGCUGGAGGGUCGGAGGGGAGACUGGAAUUCUCGGUGUAGCAGUGAAAUGCGUAGAUAUCGAGAGGAACACCAGUGGCGAAGGCGAGUCUCUGGACGACUACUGACACUGAGGCACGAAAGCUAGGGGAGCAAACAGG
rnacentral:rRNA from 1 species